rnacentral:rRNA from 1 species
CCUACGGGGGGCUGCAGUGGGGAAUAUUGCACAAUGGGCGCAAGCCUGAUGCAGCCAUGCCGCGUGUGUGAAGAAGGCCUUCCGGUUGUAAAGCACUUUCAGCGGGGAGGAAGGCGUUAAGGUUAAUAACCUUGUCGAUUGACGUUACCCGCAGAAGAAGCACCGGCUAACUCCGUGCCAGCAGCCGCGGUAAUACGGAGGGUGCAAGCGUUAAUCGGAAUUACUGGGCGUAAAGCGCACGCAGGCGGUCUGUCAAGUCGGAUGUGAAAUCCCCGGGCUCAACCUGGGAACUGCAUUCGAAACUGGCAGGCUAGAGUCUUGUAGAGGGGGGUAGAAUUCCAGGUGUAGCGGUGAAAUGCGUAGAGAUCUGGAGGAAUACCGGUGGCGAAGGCGGCCCCCUGGACAAAGACUGACGCUCAGGUGCGAAAGCGUGGGGAGCAAACAGGAUUAGUACCCGUGUAGUC